rnacentral:misc_RNA from 1 species
AACGAGGCCGACCUGCGGCUGAGUUACCUGCGGAAGGAUCAUUACAAGUGACCCCGGUCUAACCACCGGGAUGUUCAUAACCCUUUGUUGUCCGACUCUGUUGCCUCCGGGGCGACCCUGCCUUCGGGCGGGGGCUCCGGGUGGACACUUCAAACUCUUGCGUAACUUUGCAGUCUGAGUAAACUUAAUUAAUAAAUUAAAACUUUUAACAAUGGAUCU